AUGAAUACAGAGAGAAGUAGUGUAAGUGACUAAUUCGUAUUUUGGGGUUGGGGCUUUUUUUUACUAGGAACUUUUGAUAAGAAACUGGUCAGCCAUUCUGAGAGUGGUGGAAAGCCUGUCAAGGUCACUACCAAGGACAAGAGAGUCAAUUAGUAUGCAGAUCAGAGCCAAGGAGUUCAAAGGUCUGAUGGCAGAUUAAAUCCAUGACAGGAAACAGUGAUAAUGCUCACUGUAGAGCCAUCUGGUGUAAAGGUCCCUAAGAAUGGUACAACUGAAAUGGGAGAAUGAAGAAAUGUAUUGGCUAUGACAAGAAGAAGUAAUUGCUUUUCCUCAAAGGAUCAGAUGUGGUAUAGUUGUUUGAAAAACAAUCUAAACAACAUUUUGUUCACCAUUGAUUUUAAAAGCAUUAAAAUUAGUUUUUACGCAGCUAUACUCAUUAAGCUUUUAUGUAUACUGUGUAGGGUGAAUAGUUAAGAAGCAAUAAAGCAUUCUGCAGUAAAAUAUACUUUGCCAGUUGUCAGAAGAAAUAAAAUACAUAGAUUGGGAAUGUUUGUUUUCUGUAGAAUAUUGCAAUAUUUGCCAUGUUAAUUACAAUCCAAAUAAAGCCAUUUUAUUUGUGUAUUUUAAACAGUCUUGUAGCUGUAGAUGGCUAAUACAAC